rnacentral:piRNA from 1 species
UCACUGGUCCCCAACAGAACAACCGCUGC